GACAGAGGCCCCGAGCGUUAGGCGGAAUCACUGGGCUUAAAGCGUGUGUAGGCGGGCCCGUAAGUGUCUUGUGAAAUCCCACGGCUCAACCGUGGAACUGCUGGGCAUACUGCGGGUCUUGGGCCAACUAGGGGCAGCCGGAACAAGCGGUGGAGCGGUGAAAUGCGUAGAUAUCGCUUGGAACGCCGAAGGUGAAAACAGGCUGCUGGGGUUGCGCCGACGCUGAGACACGAAAGCCCAGGGGGAGCAAAACGGG
rnacentral:rRNA from 1 species